GCCGCUGUAGCUCAGGGGUAGAGCAGCUCAUUCGUAAUGAGCAGGUCGUCGGUUCAAAUCCGACCAGCGGCU
rnacentral:tRNA from 1 species